rnacentral:sRNA from 1 species
AUGAGAGUGAAAUUUUGUAUAAGCACCAGCUAGUUAAAGCUAAAGACUAAGUACCUCCUAUACCAAUUCCAGGAAAUACAGAAGUAGACAUCCUGACUUUCUAUCAAUUUGAGUAAGAAAAUCCCAUCCCUCCAUCUCAGUAUGUCUCCAGGCAAAUAGUUUCAGUAGUCUCUUGGACUCUUACCUCAUCCAGUCCCCUAAUCUAUAACUCCAGGUACCAGAUUUCCGUUACUAAAUCCAGUAAGCUUAAUGGUAUCUUCAGAAUGAACCAUGCCCUCCUGUUGGUAUGAGAUCAGCAUGACCCUGCAUCUGCUCUGUGUCAUACUCGGUUAUAUGUUUCUGGAGGCAAUACAAAAUAGGCUCAUAAAUAGUGGGAAAAGAGUACUUUAUCUUUUUGGAAAUAAAGGUAACAGACCCAGAGAAAGCCCCAUCCCUGUUUGGAAUCCCUGCUGAGUCCUGGCUUCUUAUUCUCUUCUCUGCAGGCUGUACUUUCGCAGUCAAGUCAAAGGGGAGACGGACCGAGAACGGCUGCUCCUUGCCUCUCAAACUAGUAGAGAGAUAGUGGCAGGGAGGUUUCCUGUCAACAAGGAAUUGGCUCUUGAGAUGGCUGUCCUGAUGGCCCAGGUAGAAUAUGGGGACUUGGAGAAGCCUGCCCUGCCAGGCCCUGGAGGCACAUCCCCUGCCAAGGCUCAGCAUCUUCUCCAGCAGGUCCUAGACAGGUUCUACCCCAGGCGCUAUAGACAUGGGGCCCCCCCUGAACAGCUGAGGCACCUGGCAGAUAUGUUGACCACAAAAUGGGCAACAUUGCAAGGAUGCUCCCCUCCUGAGUGCAUCCGCAUCUACCUGACCGUGGCCAGGAAAUGGCCUUUCUUUGGUGCUAAACUUUUUGCUGCUCAGCCUGCCCAGCUGUCUUCCAAGGAGAACGCUCUGGUGUGGAUUGCUGUGAAUGAGGAUGGCGUCAGCAUCCUGGACCACACCACUAUGCAAGUGCACAUCACUUACCCCUACUCUUCAGUGACAACCUUUGGUGGCUGCAGGGAUGACUUCAUGCUUGUGAUUAGAUCUAUCCCAGACAAGAGCUCUGGAAAAAGCCACAUUGAGAAGUUGAUCUUCCGGAUGGCUGCUCCCAAGAUUGCAGAAGCUACCUUCAUCAUGGCCAGCUAUAUGAACCAUUGCACUACAACUGUGAACCCCCCCACCAACCCACCCGGAGCCUGCCAGCUGUGGGAACUGGAUGGACGACAGUUCUUUUCUUCUGUUUCCUGUGCUACCAAGGGGCCAACGUUGCUGUGAAUAUUUCUCCUACCCGAUUCCCCACCACCACUAGUGCCUCUGGAUUUAGAGAUAUAUAUCCUAGGGUAUGAUACUACUGUGACGGGUCUAACAGCCCCCGCCUACUCUUGUUCUGUGAAAUGUGUAUUUUAGUAUCUGUGAAGCCUUUACUCUCUAGGUGCCUUAUAAUGUUUCAGGGCUCAACUUUUUAAAAUCCAGACCCAGUGUUAAAACCAUUUAUUCCUUUUUUCAUAAGAAUAAUGACUCCAGAUGCUACCUGAUUCUAGACAUAGACAGGGAUGAUCCACUGUUACUGAGGGCAUCAGUGCUAUAAGUUAAGGCUUUCUGCACUGGUACUCUCAAGGAAGUUAAUUUUCUUUCUGGGGGGGCGGGGGACACUGUCACUAUGUCACCCAGGCUGGAGUCCACAGGGUUCAAGCAAUUCUCCUGCCUCAGCCUUUGGAGUAGCUGGGAUUACAGGUGUGCGCCACCAUGCCCGGCUAAUUUUUGUAUUUUUAGUAGAGAUGGGGUUUCACCGUGUUGGCCAGGCUGGUCUCGAACUCCUGACCUCAGGUGAUCUGCCCACUUUGGCCUCCCAAAGUGCUGGGAUUACAGGCAUGAGCCAUCGCCCAGCCCAGACGCUAAUUUUUUAAUAUUGUAUAUGGUCUUAUUUAUACUUGAAGUUUUGUGAACGUCGCUAAACAGGAUAGGACUAAAAUUUCCAAUUCUCCUACACUCUGUCAGAAGCCUAGAACUCACUAAACUGGGCUGCCUUUCCCAAAUGGGAAAGGUGCUGACAGAGUUGGAGAAAGAAGAAUAGACUCAUUCUUCCCCAUUAUUGGUAUGUAGGCAUUGGUACAGCCCCUUCUGGGGCAGUCUUUGCAGGAUAACAUGCUAUCCCUGCUAAGAUUCAAGCUGUUUUCCUCACACUGGACUUUAGGCCAAACCCAGUACCACGCAAUGUGCAAGCAAGGGCAGGAGGUAGGUCCAAUCUGACCCCUCCCUGUCUCAUUUUAAUGACUGGACAGCGCUUGGUGAAGGCUGUGUUCACUGUAGUGGGCCAUCAUUUGUUUCCUUGUUCUUGUAAAAGACCAAGCAAAUGCACUCUGCUUUUUGCUGCUGUAAGACCACCAAAAAUGAGUCAGAAACACAGAAGACUAUUUCAGGCAUGUGGGCCUGGAUAUGCUCCUUGAGACUUCUGGCAAACUUCUGCUGGGAAUUAGUUUGAGGGUGAGGGUACAUAUGUGACAUUUGCCCUAGCCUAAGAGUAGCAGGUAAAAAAAAGUUUCUUUCAUCUUUUGCCUUACUGAUAAUACCAUAAUCCCCCUCAAUUCAGACCUUCUGAUUGAGUGCAGAGGAGACUAGACAGUCUCCUCUAGACAGGGUGUAGACACACCCUCCCCUAACAAAAACAAAAUGAAAGAGUUCAUACUCUGAUUUUCCAACAUCUAGGAAACUGAGUUUUAUUUCCUAGCUCUAAGGCAGCCUUACUAUGUGUCAGUAAAGUGCUGAAAACUGUAUAUUUAGCAGUAGCACCCAAAACCAAGCCUUUAACCCCAACAAUGUGUGUAUCUUUUGCACAGCAAAAACUGCGAGGCCAGAACUAGUUUAUCUGAACACCUCAGCUGCUGUAAGCUUCUCCUCUCUCACCCCGUAAACUGACAAGCAUGAUGAAAAAAGAAGCACAUCCAAGUUUCUGCCUCUUUUAAAUGUACUUGACUUUGCAAGGCAAGUAGUUUUACAGCCAUUUCUGUUCACACCUUUCACCCCAGGACUUGGGAAUCUAGCUGAGACAUUUCUACCUCGAACAAGUCACAUGUACCACAGGUUCCUGAAUAAUUCCUGCAGGGCUGGUGACAGACAUAACAGCUCUGGUUGUAUAAUAUCUUGGGUAUCUCUAAGGCCAAUAAGGAUAACAUUAUCUACCCAGAGAGUUUAAAAGAAAAGUAGGAGUCCGAAGGAAGAGUAAACAAGAAUGGAGCUGUGUUCACACUGAAUUUGGGGUCAAUCUAUUUCCCCCACCCUCUCUCCUCCCCAACCCUUCAGGAACCCUUUAGUUUAUUAAUCUUAUACAGAAGAAACUGCCUUAGAAACAAAGGAUUCAAUAAUUUGCUUAUUUAUUCUUUGUUAACAUGAGAGUCCCAUGUCUGAAAACCAAAGUCCAAUUUCUGUCUGGCCUUUUGUCUCAUCCUUCUUGGCAAAAGUAGCUUUUGAACUGAUAUAAAAAAAAAAAAAUGCUGAGUAACAGAAAAGUAUUAAUGUGCUUGACACCAUGACUGAAAUACUAUGAUCUUGUUUGUCAAUAAAAAGCAGCUAUCUGUGAACCAGGUAACUGUGUGUUUUGGAAGAUCUGUUUAUUAACAGUAAAUAAAUAAGCCCUGUACAGAACACAGGCACUAGGUUGAC